rnacentral:tRNA from 1 species
CCCGUGCGGCCGCCGGAGCGGCGGGCCCGGCUCGGCGCCGGGGCGGCCGCCGCCGGGGGAGCGGUGCUGCUGGUGCUGGCCGGCGUGCUGGCCC